CAGUAGCCGCGGGAAUACGUAGGGUGCAAGCGUUAAUCGGAAUUACUGGGCGUAAAGCGUGCGCAGGCGGUCCGCUAAGACAGAUGUGAAAUCCCCGGGCUUAACCUGGGAACUGCAUUUGUGACUGGCGGGCUAGAGUAUGGCAGAGGGGGGUAGAAUUCCACGUGUAGCAGUGAAAUGCGUAGAGAUGUGGAGGAAUACCGAUGGCGAAGGCAGCCCCCUGGGCCAAUACUGACGCUCAUGCACGAAAGCGUGGGGAGCAAACAGGAUUAGAUACCCGUGUAGUCCCUGUCUCUUAUAC
rnacentral:rRNA from 1 species